AAGAAGAGACCAAAAAAC
rnacentral:sRNA from 1 species